rnacentral:lncRNA from 1 species
AUGCCAAUCCUGAUCCCAGUCCCAAAUCCCAAAUCUCGAAUCCUGAUCCCAAAUCCCAACCCCAAAUCCCAAAUCUCGAUCACAAAACUUGAUGCCAUUCCCAAUCCCUGUCACAAAUCACAAAUCCCAAACCCCAAAUCCCAAAUCCUCAUCCCAAAUUCCCACCUCAAAUCCCAACCCCAAAUACUCAUCCCCAUCCCAAUCCCAACCCCAAAUACUCAUCCUAAAUCCCAACCCCAAAUCCCAAUCCCAACCUCAAAUACUCAUCCCAAACCCCAAUCCCAACCCCAAAUCCCAACCCCAACCCCAAAAUACUCAUCCCAACCCCAAAUACUCAACCCAAACCCCAACCCCAACCCCAAAUACUCAUCCCCAUCCCAAUCCCAGCCCCAAAUACUCAUCUCAAAUCCCAACCCCAGCCCCAAUCCCAUCCCCACCGACGUCACCGCGCGCAGGGCGUGCACUGCACCGCGAGGUUCACCGGCGCCGCCCGUCCCCAAAUCCCAACCCCAACCCCAAAUACUCAUCCCAACCCCAAAUACUCAUCCAAACCCCAAAUACUCAUCCCAACCCCAAAUACUCAUCCAAACCCCAAAUACUCAUCCCAAACCCCAAAUACUCAUCCCAAAUCCCAACCCCAACCCCAACCCCAAAUACUCAUCCAAACCCCAAAUACUCAUCCCAAACCCCAACCCCAAAUCCCAACCCCAAUCCCAUCCUUGUGUCGUCACCGCACGCAGGGCGCGCACUGCACCGCGCGGUUCACCAGCGCCGCCCGUCCCAAAUCCCAACCCCAAAUCCCAAAUACUCAUCCCAAAUCCCAAUCCCAACCCCAAAUCCCCAUCCCAAAUCCCAUCCUUGCGUCGUCACCGCGCGCAGGGCGUGCACUGCACCCCGCGUGUCACCGGCGCCGCCCGUCCCCAAUUCCCACCCCAAAUCCCAAUCUCAACCCCAAAUACUCAUCCCAAUCCCAAAUCCCAAUCCCAACCCCAAAUCCCAACCCCAAACCCCAAAUCGCAAUCCCAACCCCAAAUAUCCCAACUCCCAACUCCUAAAUCCCAACCCCAACCCCAAAUAGUCAUCCCAAACCCCAAUCCCAACCCCAAAUACUCAUCACAAAUCCCAACCCCAACCCCAAAUACUCAUCCCAACCACAAAUACUCAUCCCAAAUACUCAUCCCAACCCCAAAUCCCAACUCCAAACCCCAAUCCCAACCCAAAUCCCAUCCCAACCGGCGU